rnacentral:rRNA from 1 species
AGAGUUUGAUCAUGGCUCAGAUUGAACGCUGGCGGCAGGCUUAACACAUGCAAGUCGAACGGAACCUUCGGGUUUAGUGGCGAACGGGUGAGUAAUACCUAGGAAUCUGCCUAUUAGUGGGGGAUAACGGCUCGAAAGGGUCGCUAAUACCGCAUACGUCCUACGGGAGAAAGAGGGGGAUCUUCGGACCUCUUGCUAAUAGAUGAGCCUAGGCCGGAUUAGCUAGUUGGUAGGGUAAAGGCCUACCAAGGCGACGAUCCGUAGCUGGUCUGAGAGGAUGAUCAGCCACACUGGAACUGAGACACGGUCCAGACUCCUACGGGAGGCAGCAGUGGGGAAUAUUGGACAAUGGGGGCAACCCUGAUCCAGCCAUGCCGCGUGUGUGAAGAAGGCCUUCGGGUUGUAAAGCACUUUAAGCGAGGAGGAAGGUCUUUGAAUUAAUACUUCAAAGAAUUGACGUUACUCGCAGAAUAAGCACCGGCUAACUCUGUGCCAGCAGCCGCGGUAAUACAGAGGGUGCAAGCGUUAAUCGGAAUUACUGGGCGUAAAGCGCGCGUAGGCGGUAUGUUAAGUCGGAUGUGAAAUCCCUGGGCUCAACCUAGGCAUUGCAUCCGAUACUGGCACACUAGAGUGUGGGAGAGGAAGGUAGAAUUCCAGGUGUAGCGGUGAAAUGCGUAGAGAUCUGGAGGAAUACCGAUGGCGAAGGCAGCCUUCUGGCCUAACACUGACGCUGAGGUGCGAAAGCAUGGGGAGCAAACAGGAUUAGAUACCCUGGUAGUCCAUGCCGUAAACGAUGUCAACUAGCCGUUGGGCUCCUUGAGGGCUUAGUGGCGCAGCUAACGCGAUAAGUUGACCGCCUGGGGAGUACGGUCGCAAGACUAAAACUCAAAUGAAUUGACGGGGGCCCGCACAAGCGGUGGAGCAUGUGGUUUAAUUCGAUGCAACGCGAAGAACCUUACCUGGCCUUGACAUGUCUGGAAUCCUGCAGAGAUGCGGGAGUGCCUUCGGGAAUCAGAACACAGGUGCUGCAUGGCUGUCGUCAGCUCGUGUCGUGAGAUGUUGGGUUAAGUCCCGCAACGAGCGCAACCCUUUUCUUUACUUGCCAGCACUUCUGGUGGGAACUUUAAAGAUACUGCCGGUGACAAACCGGAGGAAGGCGGGGACGACGUCAAGUCAUCAUGGCCCUUACGGCCAGGGCUACACACGUGCUACAAUGGUCGGUACAAAGGGU